rnacentral:rRNA from 1 species
UGGGGAAUAUUGGACAAUGGGCGCAAGCCUGAUCCAGCCAUGCCGCGUGAGUGAAGAAGGCCUUAGGGUUGUAAAACUCUUUCGCCGGGGAAGAUAAUGACGGUACCCGGAGAAGAAGCUCCGGCUAACUUCGUGCCAGCAGCCGCGGUAAUACGAAGGGAGCUAGCGUUGUUCGGAAUUACUGGGCGUAAAGCGCACGUAGGCGGACUUGUCAGUCAGGGGUGAAAUCCCAAGGCUCAACCUUGGAACUGCCUCCGAUACAGCAAGCCUAGAGAUCGGGAGAGGUGAGUGGAAUUCCUAGUGUAGAGGUGAAAUUCGUAGAUAUUAGGAAGAACACCAGUGGCGAAGGCGGCUCACUGGCCCGAUACUGACGCUGAGGUGCGAAAGCGUGGGGAGCAAACAGGAUUAGAUACCCCAGUAGUCCCUGAGCGGGCUGGCAAGGCGCAU